UUAGUAGCGGCGAGCGAACAGGGAAGAGCCCAGCGCCGAAUUCCGCGUCUCAAAGGGCGUUUGGAACAUGUGGCGUUUAGGAGGAAUCUCUCCGAGGGCAGACGGUGUCGCAAGUCCCCCUGAACGGGGCUGUGAUCCAGAGCGGGUGCGAGGCCCAUAGCUGGUACCGUCUCCUUUGGGUGUCCCCUCCUUGGAGUCGGGUUGCUUGGGAGUGCAGCCCUAAUUGGGUGGUAAACUCCACCUAAGGCUAAAUACGUCCGUGAGACCGAUAGCAAACAAGUACCGUGAGGGAAAGUUGCAAAGAACUUUGAAGAGAGAGUUCAAGAGUACGUGAAACCGCUCAGAGGCAAACGGGUGGGCCCACGAAAGCCGAAGGCGGGGGGAUUCAGUCGAGAGGACGGUGGGGCAGGACUGGCUGGUUGGACGGACCGUGCCAGGCCGGGUCAGUUCCCGAGAUCUGCCGCCUUUCGACGCAUUUCCCCCUGCUUAGUAGGACGCCGCAACCGGUUGGCGCUGCAGCCAUAAGGGAGAGUAAAUGGAAGGUAGCCAGUGAGUUCUUCUUCGGAGGCGCGAGCUGGUCCUAAGCCGACUCUCCUGGUGCUUGUGGCCCGACCGUGGUCGUGAGUCCCUCAACGGGAUGUCGCCGAGCCCUCUGACUGGAGCGGGAGAAGUGGCAGGCUGCUUUCCGCGGAAAAAAUCGAUCGCUUCACGCGUGCAGUGGGCGAUCUCCGGAGGUAGCUGCUGGUGCGUUUUUCUCCUGCGCUGGGCACAGGCAGUUGGCGGCGAGUAGGUCGGUCACCCACCCGACCCGUCUUGAAACACGGACCAAGGAGUCUAACAUGUGCGCGAGUCAUUGGGUCUUGAACAAGCCCAAAGGCGCAAUGAAAGUGAAGACCAGCACUGAAGCUGGUGGAGUUGGGAAACUGUGUCACUGAAGAUGCAGUUGCACCAACGGCCCGUCCCGUCCGCAUCGUCGGUGGGGCGGAGCGAGAGCGUACACGUUGGGACCCGAAAGAUGGUGAACUAUGCCUGGGCAGGACGAAGCCAGAGGAAACUCUGGUGGAGGUCCG
rnacentral:rRNA from 1 species